GAUGAACGCUGGCGGCGUGCCUAAUACAUGCAAGUCGAGCGAACAGAUGAGGAGCUUGCUCCUCUGACGUUAGCGGCGGACGGGUGAGUAACACGUGGAUAACCUACCUAUAAGACUGGGAUAACUUCGGGAAACCGGAGCUAAUACCGGAUAAUAUAUUGAACCGCAUGGUUCAAUAGUGAAAGACGGUUUUGCUGUCACUUAUAGAUGGAUCCGCGCCGCAUUAGCUAGUUGGUAAGGUAACGGCUUACCAAGGCAACGAUGCGUAGCCGACCUGAGAGGGUGAUCGACCACACUGGAACUGAGACACGGUCCAGACUCCUACGGGAGGCAGCAGUAGGGAAUCUUCCGCAAUGGGCGAAAGCCUGACGGAGCAACGCCGCGUGAGUGAUGAAGGUCUUCGGAUCGUAAAACUCUGUUAUUAGGGAAGAACAAAUGUGUAAGUAACUAUGCACGUUUUGACGGUACCUAAUCAGAAAGCCACGGCUAACUACGUG
rnacentral:rRNA from 1 species